CAGUCGCCGCGGGAAUACGUAGGGUGCAAGCGUUAAUCGGAAUUACUGGGCGUAAAGCGUGCGCAGGCGGUGAUGUAAGACAGUUGUGAAAUCCCCGGGCUCAACCUGGGAACUGCAUCUGUGACUGCAUCGCUGGAGUGCGGCAGAGGGGGAUGGAAUUCCGCGUGUAGCAGUGAAAUGCGUAGAUAUGCGGAGGAACACCGAUGGCGAAGGCAAUCCCCUGGGCCUGCACUGACGCUCAUGCACGAAAGCGUGGGGAGCAAACAGGAUUAGAUACCCUGUAGUCCCUGUCUCUUAUACA
rnacentral:rRNA from 1 species